UGGGGAAUAUUGCACAAUGGGCGAAAGCCUGAUGCAGCAACGCCGCGUGAGUGAUGAAGGUCUUCGGAUUGUAAAGCUCUGUCUUUUGGGACGAUAAUGACGGUACCAAAGGAGGAAGCCACGGCUAACUACGUGCCAGCAGCCGCGGUAAUACGUAGGUGGCGAGCGUUGUCCGGAUUUACUGGGCGUAAAGGGUGCGUAGGCGGAUGUUUAAGUGAGAUGUGAAAUACCCGGGCUUAACUUGGGUGCUGCAUUUCAAACUGGAUAUCUAGAGUGCAGGAGAGGAGAAUGGAAUUCCUAGUGUAGCGGUGAAAUGCGUAGAGAUUAGGAAGAACACCAGUGGCGAAGGCGAUUCUCUGGACUGUAACUGACGCUGAGGCACGAAAGCGUGGGUAGCAAACAGGAUUAGAUACCCUGGUAGUCCACGCCGUAAACGAUGAGUACUAGGUGUAGGAGGUAUCGACCCCUUCUGUGCCGCAGUAAACACAUUAAGUACUCCGCCUGGGAAAUACGAUCGCAAGAUUAAAAC
rnacentral:rRNA from 1 species